rnacentral:rRNA from 1 species
GAUGAACGCUGGCGGCGUGCCUAAUACAUGCAAGUCGAGCGAACAGACGAGGAGCUUGCUCCUCUGACGUUAGCGGCGGAAGGGUGAGUAACACGUGGAUAACCUACCUAUAAGACUGGGAUAACUUCGGGAAACCGGAGCUAAUACCGGAUAACAUGUUGAACCGCAUGGUUCAACAGUGAAAGACGGUUUUGCUGUCACUUAUAGAUGGAUCCGCGCCGCAUUAGCUAGUUGGUAAGGUAACGGCUUACCAAGGCAACGAUGCGUAGCCGACCUGAGAGGGUGAUCGGCCACACUGGAACUGAGACACGGUCCAGACUCCUACGGGAGGCAGCAGUAGGGAAUCUUCCGCAAUGGGCGAAAGCCUGACGGAGCAACGCCGCGUGAGUGAAGAAGGUCUUCGGAUCGUAAAACUCUGUUAUUAGGGAAGAACAAAUGUGUAAGUAACUAUGCACGUCUUGACGGUACCUAAUCAGAAAGCCACGGCUAACUACGUG